UUGUUGUAGGAAAGGAGAGAAGGUUAGCACUCCCCUUGACAAGGAUAGAAGAGGCCCUUGGGCCUGACAACAUGCAUAUGGUUAAGGCAUUGUCACCCACUUUGUGGCAUCUAACCAACAUCGAAU
rnacentral:ncRNA from 1 species